UACGUAGGGACCGAGCGUUGUCCGGAAUCAUUGGGCGUAAAGAGCGUGUAGGCGGCCACUUAAGUCCUGCGUGAAAUCUUGCGGCUCAACCGCAAGCGGUCGUGGGAAACUGGGUGGCUAGAGUGCGGGAGAGGAGAGUGGAAUUCCUGGUGUAGCGGUGGAAUGCGCAGAUAUCAGGAAGAACACCCGUGGCGAAGGCGGCUCUCUGGACCGGUAUUGACGCUGAGGCGCGAAAGCCAGGGGAGCAAACGGG
rnacentral:rRNA from 1 species